CAGUUUAUGAUGAUAACUAAAAUUAUUUUUUGCGGAUUUCAGUGAGAUUUAAUCGUCAAUGAUCUGAUUGUUACAUUCAUUGAGGCCC